rnacentral:lncRNA from 1 species
CGGAUCCUUCCCUUCCCCAGCGUUCACUCACUGCCUCUCCCUAUCUCUCUCUCGGACCACAUCCUCCCACCACAACAUCUUUCUAUCUCCUCCCGCGUUACUCACCCCACCUGUUGCCUCUCCCACAGCUCACUAACCUUACACCUCUUCCUCUCUCCUCCUGCGUUGCUCACACAACCCGCUCACUCUCACACAGUUCACACACAUCUUCCUCUCCUCCCCCGUGUUGCUCACACAACAUGUUCCCUCUCACACCGCUUAUUAACCUCACACAUCUUCCUCUCUCCUCCUGCGUUGCUCACACAACCCGCUCCCUCUCACACAGUUCACACACAUUUUCCUCUCUUCCGAUCUCCACUCACUCCAC